rnacentral:lncRNA from 1 species
UAAAAUAGACUAAAGAAUUAAUCUAAGACCUGAAAUCAUUAAAAUUCUGAAUGAAAACCUAGGAAAACCUCUUCUGGACAUUGGCCCUGGCAAAUAAUUUAUGAGUGAGACCCCAAAAGCAAAUGCAACAAAAAACAAAAAAUAAAUGGAACUAAAGCUGUGCGGUUUAUAGAGUAAAGCAAAAGAAGAAAGUACUCACCCAUAGUUUGCAGGGUAGGGUAAGGGAACAAUACAAAAAUGAACAAAACCUGCAAAAUUCCUGUUGAGCUCUGGAAAUACAUGCUUGGGAAUUUUACCAAUUUACUGGGUAAUUCUUUCCAGAGUAGUUUUUUUACGAUUACUACUUAAACCAGUGUUUCUGUAUACUAUUUCCUUCCAAUUACCUUUAAACCUUUACAUUCUGACACCUACCAACUGUAGUUAUAAAUCACUUUUAUUCAUCAAUAACUUAUUGUUCAUAUGCUACAUUCCAGGCUGAGGAGAUUAAAAAUUACAUAAUCCCUGCCCUCAAUGAAAUUAGAAUUCUUGUGAAAAUCAGAAAUGGCACAUGCCAUAUGAAUUUUAAACUGCUUAAAAAUCUAAAACAGAUAUUUAUUUUUUCCAUCUUAAAUUGGCAACAGCUUACAUUCAUUUUAAAUUGCUCAAUCAUCAAUCUGAUUUCAUACAUA